rnacentral:lncRNA from 1 species
GCCAUGUGCGACUGACGUGUUUUCCGUUUGCUCCCGCAGUAUUCUUAAAGUUUAUGUGAAUUUUGCAGCAGAACUGUAUUUGUUUUCAAAUAUUAGUUUGGUGAUCCCUUUCCGUAAAAACCAAGACUACUUUGCUUUCGAAUGUCAGCAUGUCGACGAAACAUACGGCCAAAAACCUGACUUUGAGAAAACCCGGCCUACAAGACCCACUCUCAUCACCGCCCUCUCCUGAGUCUGAAGGCCCGGGGACUCACACUUUACCCGGGGGUGCGGAUUGGCCUGGCGGCGCUGAAAUGAACAUUCUUCGAGGCCAUCAAGCUACUACGCACUGAGAUAGUUGAAAUGAAAACGGAGGUAGUUGCUACGAUUGAGGCCCGAAUACAGGAGGUUUCUGAUACUUUAAAAGCAGAUUUACAUUUUAGUCAUUUAGCAGGCAUUCUUAUCCAGAGCAACUUACAGUAGUGAAUGCAUACAUUUCAUUCAUUCAUUGUUUUUUUUUUUGUACUGGCCCCCCGUGGGAAUUGAACCCACAACCCUGGCGUUGCAACGCCAGCAUGGUGUGUGCAAACACAAGAAUUGCCGUCUAACCAUCCUGCGAAAGGAGACGGUGCCAGCAAUCACAUCACUCAAAACAACAACAGAGUUGCACACUACAACGAUUGCAGCACUGGAGACCUCCGCUACCAAUGUCUCCGACUUAACUACCUCUCUGGAGGCUGAUGUGAAACGCCUGGAUGCGGAUUUGGAAAAGGUGCAGGAGAGUUGUGAGUUUAGAGGGAUUCUCUUGCCGCAAUAACCUGAGACUGGUAUCGGUCCCAGAGUCAGUGGAAGUGCCACGGAUUUAAUUUCUGGGCUGCUGAAGGAUGCUCUUGCCUUGGAUGAGAAGUCCCUGAUUGAUCGUGCCCACCGGUUGCUGCGCCCAAAGUCCCGGGAUGGUGAGAGGCCCUGUGACAUAAUUCUUCGAGUGCACUUUUUCCAUGAGAAGAUGGAGAUUCUCAGACGAGCCCGUCUGAAUACCACUCAAUACCACUCUGAGCUUUCAAGGACAGAGCUUCUCUAUCUACCAGGACUACUCCCCCACUGUUUCCAGGCAGCGCGCAGCUUUUGGGCAGGCCAAACGACUACUACAGGACCAUCCAGGUGUGAAGUAUGGACUGCGAUUCCCGGCCCGUUAAUGGCUAUCUCAUGAUGGUAAAGACUACACAUUUGAGUCUCCGGAUGAGGCUAUGGCUCACAUUCAAUGUCACAUCAAGAAGUCUUGAACUUGCUCAUAGAUCAGCAACUGUUGCUUGUGAGCUGUGGAUAGUUGAAAGGGGUGUAUCUUGGCAAUAACGUUACAAGCGUCAGAUGCCAUGCGUCAGAUGCAGUGGUGUAAAGCUCGCCACCAUUGGACACAGGAGCAGUG